rnacentral:snoRNA from 1 species
AUGUCCAGGUUUCAGAUCAGAGUUCAGCUAAUAACAGAAGCCUUCCCCGAACCCUGUGAAAAUUAGCACCUCUCCAUUGCAGUGUUCUCUCCUGAGCUUCGUGAAGGUGGCUCUAGGUGUUGCUUCGGCAACUGCUUAUUGCCAUUGGUGAUUGUUCUUCUCCUUUGGGGGAGUAAGAGGGAGAGGACACAGGCUGAGUGGU